CGGCGAGUGAAGCGGCAACAGCUCAAAUUUGAAAUCUGGCCUUCUUUGGGGGUCCGAGUUGUAAUUUGCAGAGGGCGCUUUGGCGUCGGCAGCGGUCUAAGUUCCUUGGAACAGGACGUCACAGAGGGUGAGAAUCCCGUACGUGGUCGCCUGCCUUCGCCGUGUAAAGCCCCUUCGACGAGUCGAGUUGUUUGGGAAUGCAGCUCUAAAUGGGAGGUAAAUUUCUUCUAAAGCUAAAUACUGGCCAGAGACCGAUAGCGCACAAGUAGAGUGAUCGAAAGAUGAAAAGCACUUUGGAAAGAGAGUCAAACAGCACGUGAAAUUGUUGAAAGGGAAGCGCUUGCCGCCAGACUUGCCCGUGAAGGUUCUCCUCCUCGGGCAGGCCAGCAUCAGUUUGAGCGAUCGGAUAAUGGCCUCUGUCAUGUAUCUUCCUUCGGGAUGACCUUAUAGGGGAGUCGUAGUACGGUCAGCUCGGACUGAGGUCCGCGCAUUUGCUAGGAUGCUGGCGUAAUGGCUGCAAGCGGCCCGUCUUGAAACACGGACCAAGGAGUCUAACAUCUAUGCGAGUGUUUGGGUGUCAAGCCCGAGCGCGCAAUGAAAGUGAACGGAGGUGGGAACCCUCUCUGGGGGUGCACCAUCGACCGAUCCUGAAGUCUUCGGAUGGAUUUGAGUAAGAGCAUGGCUGUUGGGACCCGAAAGAUGGUGAACUAUGCUUGAAUAGGGUGAAGCCAGAGGAAACUCUGGUGGAGGCUCGCAGCGGUUCUGACGUGCAAAUCGAUCGUCAAAUUUGGGCAUAGGGGCGAAAGACUAAUCGAACUAUCUAGUAGCUGGUUCCUGCCGAAGUUCCCUCAGGAUAGCAGUAACGUAUUCAGGUUUAUGAGGUAAAGCGAAUGAUUAAAGGCCUGGGGGUUGAACAACCUUCACUAUUCUCAACUUUAAUAUGUAAAAAUCCUUGUACUUGAUGGAC
rnacentral:rRNA from 1 species